rnacentral:rRNA from 1 species
AUGCUCGAGAAGGCCACCAUCAGAAAGAAGCUCAAGCUGGAGGGCAAAUCGGCUGCCCCGAGCUCGGCGCUCCUGCUGCUGUCGGCUGAGCUGCUGGAGCUCGCUGCGAACGGCGGGCCUCCGCUCCUACGCAAGGACGCCGUGCAGCUGGCCGUUGCCUGCGGGAUUGUCACCGCCUGGGAUGACAUCAUUUUUGACUGCUCAAAAAUCAUCAAAGGGGACUACGCUUUAACUUGCUAGUUUGAAUCACGUGCGGACGACCUAGUUUUUGCCGUCACCAAUGUCUACGGACCCUGCGACUCUGCCUCCAAGCCUCUCUUCUUACAAUCCUUGGUUGAUUUGAUGCCAACUAUUUCCUGCCCUUGGACAAUCAUCGGUGACUUUAAUAUUACCCUCCGGCCCUCCGAAAGAUCCAUGACGCAUUUCAGUAUGGCCGAGGCUAAUCUUUUCGCCUCUGCAAUUAACACUCUCCAGCUCCAGGAUCUCCCUCUCCUUGAUAGGCGCCUUACUUGGUCUAACCAACAAGACAUGCCUAUCCUGGUUCGGCUCGAUAGAGCCCUUGCCAACGUUGCAUGGGCUACGACUUUCCCCGACACCUCUCUCUCUUCGAUCACUCGUACAACUUCCGACCACGUCCCUAUCCGUCUCACCGCUGCUACCACUAUCCCUCGAUCUACGGUGUUUCGCCUCAAUCGCUCCCUGCUCAGCAAUCCUCAUUUCAAGGAGAAGGUGAUGGCUAACUGGAGGAGUGUGGGCACUCGCCAUGCCCACCUUGGCUCUGCUGGAGUUCUAUCAUCGAAGAUUAAGCGCACCAGGAACAUGGCUAAGAAGUGGAUGGCCUCCUGUCGGUCCCCUAAGACCCUAGCCAUAAACUGUCGCACCACAAUUGAUUUUUUGGACAAAUUAGAGGAGGCUCGCCCCCUCUCCCAGCUCGAAUCGCACCUUCGAACCCUAGUCAAAGUCACUCUCCAUCGACACAAUGUUGCCAUUGCCGCUUACUAG